UAGUCCACGCUGUAAACGAUGGAUGCUAGAUGUCGGGGAGUACUCUUCGGUGUCGUAGUUAACGCGUUAAGCAUCCCGCCUGGGGAGUACGGUCGCAAGGCUGAAACUCAAAGAAAUUGACGGGGGCCCGCACAAGCGGUGGAGUAUGUGGUUUAAUUCGAUGCAACGCGAAGAACCUUACCUAGGUUUGACAUCCACGGAACCUCUCCGAAACGAGAGGGUGCCCUUCGGGGAGCCGUGAGACAGGUGCUGCAUGGCUGUCGUCAGCUCGUGUCGUGAGAUGUUGGGUUAAGUCCCGCAACGAGC
rnacentral:rRNA from 1 species